UCACAACCAAGUUAUGAAGAAAAUUUCAUAUAUAGUUUGGGUGACAACAUAUUGUAGCUGAAUGUGGGAAUAGUGAAAAUAUGAUGAGAACAAGAAUUCAUAUUAAUCACUAUGCUUUUAUAAAUUCUACCAUCAAAGAACCAAGCAGAGGCAUAUAGUAAAAAUCCAUGGCAUGGUGUGUUUACUCCUAACUUGCAGAUGUCUUCUAAGUGAUAUCCAAAUGAGAAAUAAAACUGCAGAAUGAAGAGGCAACUACAAUUUGGAAUGACAAGAUGCUUAAUGUGAUGCCUACAAGUGAAAUAAAUCUGAAAUCCAAAUCUCAAGCAAAGGAAGUGAUCUGAAGGAAGAGGAGUUCUCAUUUUCUAAAGCUGUGAAACUGUCUGUUUAGAUGUGCCUUCUCAUUAACAUGAAAUUUCUUCAGUGCUGUAAUGAAGGGUUGGCUUCUGGCUAUGUUAAACUUAAUUAUAAUUAUUUUCGACAUAACGCCUUUGUAUCUGAUGAUUCUUGUCUUAUCAAGCUGGAUAGCAGAUGCAUAAUCAAAAGGAAAAGUGCAUCUAAUGCUUAAUUCAUGCUUGGUUGCCAGUGUUUUAAGUGGAAUUUGGACCUCAAGCUCUGCAUCUCUUUGCUGUUCUAGCACAUGGCUACAACGAGGGGCUGAAAAGAGCUGGUCUAUUAUACACUCAUCAUCCUGAUACCAUCCUGUACCUUUGAUCAGCCUUGUAUUUCUACAAGAACUUGGAGAGAUUGUACAAGGAAGAUGAACUAUUCUAUGCAAGAAGGAUAUUUGAGAACAGCUGACACUUCUGGGAAGGAGAGCAAAAACUUCAGGGAAGAGAGCCAGGUCCUCAGCUGACACAAGAAUUCAAGUUUCAGUACUGCUGUACUUUCAGUAGCCUUAUUUUAAUCCUGCAGAAAUAAUCCUUUGGGGGUGUAACAAUGCCAGGCAUGACGCUUCACAACUCAUUGUCCUGUUGGAUCACACAGUUUCUCACUAGUCUCAAAUUAAAGAAUCGUGAUAAAAUCCUGCAGAGAUGAUUUUUCUACUGGGAGACAAUAUCCUGCUGUUUUAACAGUUAAAGAGAAGGAUAUUGGGUGUGGGAGCAAAGUGCCUUUGG